rnacentral:rRNA from 1 species
GACGAACGCUGGCGGCGUGCUUAACACAUGCAAGUCGAACGGAAAGGCCCUGCUUGCAGGGUACUCGAGUGGCGAACGGGUGAGUAACACGUGGAUGAUCUGCCCUGCACUUCGGGAUAAGCUUGGGAAACUGGGUCUAAUACCGGAUAGGAGCCAUCUUUAGUGUGGUGGUUGGAAAGUUUUUUCGGUGUAGGAUGAGCUCGCGGCCUAUCAGCUUGUUGGUGGGGUAAUGGCCUACCAAGGCGGCGACGGGUAGCCGGCCUGAGAGGGUGUACGGCCACAUUGGGACUGAGAUACGGCCCAGACUCCUACGGGAGGCAGCAGUGGGGAAUAUUGCACAAUGGGCGCAAGCCUGAUGCAGCGACGCCGCGUGGGGGAUGAAGGCCUUCGGGUUGUAAACUCCUUUCGCUAGGGACGAAGCUUUUUGUGACGGUACCUAGAUAAGAAGCACCGGCUAACUACGUG